AACAUUUUAAACCUCAGAAAAAAAGUUUUUACAUUAACUAGAACUUGCAUAAAGCUUCCUUAACAAAUUCUGAAAUAUUGAUGAAACUCUAAAGUAGACUCUUUUACCCUGGAAACUGGCAGCAUGGCUUGAGUUGCCAAUAAACAGUACACAGGACAUGCUGGUCAGUGUCAGUUUCUAAAAAUGGGUGCAGAAGAAAAUGACAGCUGUUGGAGGGCAGGCAGGAACAGAGGAACACACCAAUACAGAAGCUCAGCCCCAGUGAUCUCUCAAUAGGAACUGUGGGCCUUGAAGUGAAGUGAGAAUUAACCAGAUAAGCUGUAUCCAGAACUGAAUCUAAAGUGUACAGGAAAGGAUUCUGAGCGCAGCUCAGCAGAUUAUUUCACCAAAAGCAAAAAAAGAUGAGAAGCACACAAGUUGGAGCCUGUGUUGACAGAGGAAAGGGAAAAUAAGAGACAGAAGGCAACAGCAGUUUCUACUAAACAGGCUACCACGGUCUUCGUCUUUUAUGUUCACAUAAAGCUAUAAUAAUUUGGCUUUUGAUUUAUGGU